rnacentral:rRNA from 1 species
AGGGAAAGGCGAAAAGAACCCCGGAGAGGGGAGUGAAAUAGAACCUGAAACCGUAUGCGUACAAGCAGUGGGAGCCCUUCGGGGUGACUGCGUACCUUUUGUAUAAUGGGUCAGCGAGUUACACCUCAGUGGCAAGCUUAACCGACUAGGGGAGGCGUAGCGAAAGCGAGUCUUAACAGGGCGUUAAGUCGCUGGGGGUAGACCCGAAACCGGGCGAUCUAUCCAUGGCCAGGGUGAAGGCGCGGUAACACGCGCUGGAGGCCCGAACCGGGGUCUGUUGCAAAAGACUCGGAUGAGCUGUGGAUAGGAGUGAAAGGCUAAUCAAGCUCGGAGAUAGCUGGUUCUCCCCGAAAGCUAUUUAGGUAGCGCCUCGUGUAUCACUCCUGGGGGUAGAGCACUGUUUCGGCUAGGGGGUCAUCCCGACUUACCAAACCGAUGCAAACUUCGAAUACCGGGAAGUGCAGCACGGGAGACACACGGCGGGUGCUAACGUCCGUCGUGAAGAGGGAAACAACCCAGACCGCCAGCUAAGGUCCCAAAAUCAUGGCUCAGUGGUGAACGAUGUGGGAAGGCCCAGACAGCCAGGAGGUUGGCUUAGAAGCAGCCAUCCUUUAAAGAAAGCGUAAUAGCUCACUGGUCGAGUCGGUCUGCGCGGAAGAUGUAACGGGGCUAAACUAUGCACCGAAGCUGCGGAUUCAUCUUAGGAUGAGUGGUAGGGGAGCGUUCUGUAAGCCGUUGAAGGUGACCCGGGAGGGUUGCUGGAGGUAUCAGAAGUGCGAAUGCUGACAUGAGUAACGAUAAUGGGAGUGAAAAACUCCCACGCCGGAAGACCAAGGGUUCCUAUCCCAUGCUAAUCAGGGUAGGGUAAGUCGACCCCUAAGGCGAGGCCGAAAGGCGUAGUCGAUGGGAAACAGAUUAAUAUUUCUGUACUCGAUAUAAUUGCGAUGGGGGGACGGAGCAGGCUAAGCAAGCAUGGCGUUGGUAGUCCAUGUGAAAGUGAGUAGGGCGUUUGUUUAGGUAAAUCCGGACGAACACUAAACCUGAGACACGAGACGAGUCACUAAGGUGAUGAAGUUGCUGAUGCCAUACUUCCAGGAAAAGCCUCUAAGCUUCAGAUUAUAUGGAAUCGUACCCCAAACCGACACAGGUGGUCAGGUAGAGAAUACUAAGGCGCUUGAGAGAACUCGGGUGAAGGAACUAGGCAAAAUGGUACCGUAACUUCGGGAGAAGGUACGCUCCUAUCUGUGAUGAGACUUGCUCUCUAAGCGGACGGGAGCCGCAGUGACCAGGUGGCUGGGACUGUUUAUUAAAAACACAGCACUGUGCAAAAUCGCAAGAUGACGUAUACGGUGUGACACCUGCCCGGUGCCGGAAGGUUAAUUGAUGGGGUUAUCCUUAGGGAGAAGCUCUUGAUCGAAGCCCCGGUAAACGGCGGCCGUAACUAUAACGGUCCUAAGGUAGCGAAAUUCCUUGUCGGGU